rnacentral:rRNA from 1 species
GGUGAGUACGCGCUAAAGAACUUACCUCACAGAUAGGGACAACAUUUGGAAACGAAUGCUAAUACCUGAUAUUAUGAUUUUAGGGCAUCCUAGAAUUAUGAAAGCUAUAUGCGCUGUGAGGGAGCUUUGCGUCCCAUUAGCUAGUUGGAGAGGUAACGGCUCACCAAGGCGAUGAUGGGUAGCCGGCCUGAGAGGGUGAUCGGCCACAAGGGGACUGAGACACGGCCCUUACUCCUACGGGAGGCAGCAGUGGGGAAUAUUGGACAAUGGACCAAGAGUCUGAUCCAGCAAUUCUGUGUGCACGAUGAAGUUUUUCGGAAUGUAAAGUGCUUUCAGUUGGGAAGAAAAAAUGACGGUACCAACAGAAGAAGUGACGGCUAAAUACGUGCCAGCAGCCGCGGUAAUACGUAUGUCACAAGCGUUAUCCGGAUUUAUUGGGCGUAAAGCGCGUCUAGGUGGUUAUGUAAGUCUGAUGUGAAAAUGCAGGGCUCAACUCUGUAUUGCGUUGGAAACUGUGUAACUAGAGUACUGGAGAGGUAAGCGGAACUACCAGUGUAGAGGUGAAAUUCGUAGAUAUUUGUAGGAAUGCCGAUGGGGAAGCCAGCUUACUGGACAGAUACUGACGCUGAAGCGCGAAAGCGUGGGUAGCAAACAGGAUUAGAUACCCUGG